GCCAUAGCCGCAGCUCUAUACCAUGCUGCUGCGGCCAUUGCACCUGGAUCUGGAACUGUAGCGAGAAUUUCCCCAAAUACAUAUGACGAACGGCCAGCCUAUACAAGCCAUCCAAACGGUUAAUUGAACCUAAACUGAGCAUCUGAGUAAUGAAAAUUGGAAUCCAAGACAAUAGACCCGAGGAAGCGUUUCAACCCCAAAGAUGGUGUCAAAACACUGCCGUAUAACUAAAAAAGCCAAGAAACUCGAACUGAGCGCCUCUAGAUGCUAUGGGAUUUGAAGUUGACAAACACUUUAUUAAGGAGAAAAUUGAAACUGGUGUGAUAUGCAUACCUCAUCUCCCUAGUCCCUAGUACAGAGCUAAAGGCUCUGUGUUGAUUAAAGGGCUACCAAAAGCACAAUUUGAUAGAAUGGUUGACAAGCUGGCAAUGGAAGAUAUAUUUAAACAAGGUUGAGGGGGAAUGUUGGUUGUACAUAUGUUGCAAAAUCAUUAGAGAUCUUAUUUUAUUCUUAUUAGGAUACUUUCCUUUUAUGUAUAUAGCCUUUCUCUUAUAUAAGAGGGCUUUGUAUCUCAAGAUUAAUUAGUGGAAUACAGAAUAAUUUAUUCACUCAAA